CAGAGGGUGCGAACGUUGCUCGGAAUUACUGGGCGUAAAGCGCGUGUAGGCGGGUCGGCAAGUCAGGCGUGAAAUCCCCAGGCUCAACCUGGGAACUGCGCUUGAAACUGCCGGUCUUGAGUAUCGGAGAGGGUGGCGGAAUUCCUGGUGUAGAGGUGAAAUCCGUAGAUAUCAGGAGGAACACCGGUGGCGAAGGCGGCCACCUGGACGAUUACUGACGCUGAGACGCGAAAGCGUGGGGAGCAAACAGGAUUAGAUACCCUGGUAGUCCACGCCGUAAACGAUGGGUGCUAGGUGUCUCGGGUAUUGACCCCUGAGGUGCCGUAGCUAACGCGUUAAGCACCCCGCCUGGGAAGUACGGCCGCAAGGCUA
rnacentral:rRNA from 1 species